rnacentral:misc_RNA from 1 species
GAUGAAGAACGCAGUGAAAUGCGAUAAGUAAUGUGAAUUGCAGAAUUCAGUGAAUCAUCGAAUCUUUGAACGCACAUUGCGCCCCCUGGUAUUCCGGGGGGCAUGCCUGUCCGAGCGUCAUUACAACCCUCAAGCUCAGCUUGGUGUUGGGCCCCGCCGCCCCGGCGGGCCCUAAAGUCAGUGGCGGUGCCGUCCGGCUCCGAGCGUAGUAAUUCUUCUCGCUCUGGAGGCCCGGUCGUGUGCUCGCCAGCAACCCCCAAUUUUUUUCAGGUUGACCUCGGAUCAGGUAGGGAUACCCGCUGAACUUAAGCAUAUCAAAAGCGGAGGA